rnacentral:tRNA from 1 species
GCAGCUGUGGCUCAGUUGGUAGAGCAUGGUGUUUGCAAUGGUGUUUGCAACGCCAGGGUUGUGGGUUCGAUUCCCAUGGGGGGCC